GGUGUUAUGUGAUUGUGGUGAUUGAUUGGUGUGGUUGUUUGCAACGUGUAGAUUGUGCGGAGUGCGACGCCAACUAUUGUCAGGAGUGUGACUUUCUGAACCAGAAUCAAGGCAAGUUACAUGUUGAUCACCCUUUACCUAUUAUUUUUUUCUAUGCAUGUAGUAUUAUACCACCCUAUGAAGAUUAUGCAUGUAUAGGAAGAUUAUUAUUGCUAUGCUAGUGAGCUAUAUCCCCUCGUCAUUGAAGAUCGUG
rnacentral:lncRNA from 1 species